rnacentral:rRNA from 1 species
CCCUUAGAUGUUCUGGGCUGCACGCGCGCUACACUGACACACUCAGCGAGUCACCUGAUCUGAGAAGACCGGGCAAUCAUGUGAGCGUGUGUCGUGAUGGGGAUAGAAUAUUGUAAUUAUUACUCUUCAACGAGGAAUUCCUAGUAAGCGCGAGUCAGCAGCUCGCGCUGAUUACGUCCCUGCCCUUUGUACACACCGCCUGUCGCUCCUACCGAGGGGGUGAUCCGGUGAAUGAUUCGGACUUUGGCAUUGCUAUGUUUCAUAGCAUUGCUGGGGGAAGUCUUGUGAACCUUAUCACUUGGAGGAAGGAGAAGUCGUAACA